rnacentral:ncRNA from 2 species
GAAUUGAAAAAAGAGUUGUCUAAUAUAAUUUAGCGAUAUGGGCUAAAGUUUCUACCAGUCACCUUAAAAGACUGACUAUUAGAUUGAGCACUUAUACU